rnacentral:rRNA from 1 species
AACGAACGCUGGCGGCAGGCCUAACACAUGCAAGUCGAGCGCCCCGCAAGGGGAGCGGCGGACGGGUGAGUAACGCGUGGGAACGUGCCCUUUGCUACGGAAUAGCCCCGGGAAACUGGGAGUAAUACCGUAUAAGCCCUACGGGGGAAAGAUUUAUCGGCAAAGGAUCGGCCCGCGUUGGAUUAGGUAGUUGGUGGGGUAAUGGCCUACCAAGCCGACGAUCCAUAGCCGGUUUGAGAGGAUGAUCAGCCACACUGGGACUGAGACACGGCCCAGACUCCUACGGGAGGCAGCAGUGGGGAAUAUUAGACAAUGGGCGCAAGCCUGAUCUAGCCAUGCCGCGUGAGCGAUGAAGGCCUUAGGGUUGUAAAGCUCUUUCGUGGGGGAAGAUAAUGACUGUACCCCAAGAAGAAGCCCCGGCUAACUCCGUGCCAGCCGCCGCCGUAA